GAUUAGAAUAGGGUGAGAAGAAGAGAGAAAAACGAAAGUGAGAAGAACUCAUGGUUUUCUCCUUCGGCGACAGAAGCGGCGUUUUCGCUCCGGUGACAACCUAAAAAGGAGCUCAUCAUCUGUUCCAACUCCUCCCUUCGGUUUUGUCCUUCUAUUCCAGAUUCAGAAAGGUAGUUGCAACCAUCAUUUGGCAUUCUUUAACUUUUUGCAGGGAGUAGUAAAGCAUAUUGAGUAAGGAGUUGUAGGUGUGAUAAAUCAUAGCUGCUACAACCAACAUCCCCCCGUGUUGUGCUGAAAUCCUCCUCCAACCAAUGCAUAAUCUCUCCAGCCUAUACUUUGUGAUGGUAAUAGGAGUCAUGGCGGACAAUGAUCUUUUAUUUGGUUGAGUGAAACUUGUUGGAGCAGGACCGCUUUGGUGCACUCAAUACAACAAUAUACCCACAUAUCACAAGGAUAUUUGUAUCAUAUACCCACAUAAUCAUUUGUAGCUUUGCGUUUUUGAUAUAGUGCACUUAAUGUUUAUCAUGAAUUUAAUCCAAUCCUUACCAUUUCUUUCUUCUUUUGGU